rnacentral:lncRNA from 1 species
GGUGACGCGUGCGCCGGCCGGCCGCCGAGGGGCUACCGUUCUGCCUCCGACCGAAAUACUAGGCUUUAGAAUUUCACCAUAUGAAUUUUGGGAGAGAGGAGCACAGUUCAGCCCAUAACUAACACACGACGGAAUGAAGUUGAUAAUAGUGAGACCUUGUUGGUACAAGACUAUGUAACAUAACCUGCGCUUCUCAACAAAGAAUUGCUUUUCUGACUUCUGCACUCAGUAGAUAGCAAGACAAAUCUCUCCUCUGCCUUCUCCUUAUCAGACUACUCAACAUGAAGGCAAUAAGAAUGAAGACCUCUAUGUAUAAUAAUUGACUUCCACUUAAUAAAUAAGGUUACUUGGUACACUGGUCGACAAAACCUUGAAAUGUUGAUGUUUAAGGGCUGUUGAUUGCUGGCAGCAAAGAAGUCCAACUGUGCUGGUACCCGAGAUAGCGUCUCCACAUUUUCUUCCAGGAUCAUCACCUUUGUUCUAAAUAGCUCCCACAUAGUGUGAACAGAAGUCAUAUGUUUUAGAUUUUCUGCCUUGGCACCCAGGAAACCAGUAUGAUUGAGUAAACAUAUUAAACUUCCUCUGCAUUUCCAGCCUGAACAGAUGUUGAGUACAAGCUGAUCCACCUACGUUCAACCUGAGAGAGUCCACAUCCACAGACUGUUUCAUUUCCCUUUUUCAAUUUACAUAGAAGCAUAGAUUCUUGCUGGCAUAUACAAAUGCGCCAUUUAAGGCAAUCAAAAAUGGUUCCACAUCUCAUCUGAUUUCCACAAUUGUUGCUGUAACGAUGGACUACUGAGGAGAGAGACAAUUUCUCUGGCACAUCUUCCCACAUUUUAGCAACAUGUUCAUGGAGAGCCAAUAUUCAGUAAUUACAGCCCAAUUCCUCACAAUUUCACAAUUCGCUAACAAUAUGCAUUUUCACAAUGUAAAGCUGAUUUUCCUUUAACCAAAUCAAACAUGAAAAGAUAGCUGCAUGCAAUGGGCAAUCUAGAUCAUUAGAAGAUUGAUGUAAAAUUAGAGGACACUGAGACUGGAAUAGAUUGCAAACUUCAGGGAGCUCAGAAAACUUGUAAACUCUACAUUUUGAGGAAAUAUGUUGUCGAUGCUUUUGCAACUCUAUGCAGUAACUUAACAAAUAAAGCCUUAAAGUAACUUA